rnacentral:rRNA from 1 species
ACGGAGGGUGCGAGCGUUGUUCGGAUUUACUGGGCGUAAAGGGCGCGUAGGCGGUCUUGUAAGCCAGAUGUGAAAGCCCACGGCUCAACCGUGGAAGUGCAUCUGGAACUGUGAGACUUGAGUACUGGAGGGGAGUGUGGAAUUCCCGGUGUAGAGGUGAAAUUCGUAGAUAUCGGGAGGAAUACCGGUGGCGAAGGCGACACUCUGGACAGAUACUGACGCUGAGGCGCGAAAGCGUGGGGAGCAAACAGGAUUAGAUACCCUGGUAGUCCACAGCUGUAAACGAUGUGCACUAGGUGUGGGGGGUCGUUGACCCUUUCCGUGCCGUAGCUAACGCGAUAAGUGCACCGCCUGGGGAGUACGGUCGCAAGAUUA